rnacentral:rRNA from 1 species
GUGCCAGCAGCCGCGGUAAUACGAAGGUGGCAAGCGUUACUCGGAAUUACUAGGCGUAAAGGGCAGGUAGGUGGUUCGGUAAGUCUGUUGUGUAAGCUCCCGGCUUAACUGGGAGAGGUCAACGGAAACUACCGGACUUGAGUAUAGGAGAGGUUACUGGAAUUCCCGGUGUAGCGGUGAAAUGCGCAGAGAUCGGGAGGAACACCAAUGGCGAAAGCAGGUAACUGGACUAUUACUGACACUCAGCUGCGAAAGCUAGGGGAGCAAACAGGAUUAGAUACCCUGGUAGUCC